GCCAGGCAUGGUGGGGGGUGCCUGUAGUCCCAGCUACUCGGAAGGCUGAGGUGGGAGGAUCACUUGAGCCCAAGAGUUCCAGGCUGUAGUGCGCUAUGCCGAUUGGGUGUCCGACUAAGUUCAGCAUCAAUAUGGUGACCUCCUGGGAGCGGGGGACCACCAGAUUGCCUAAGGAGGGGUUGACCAGCCCAGGUUGGAAACAGAGUAGGUCAAAAUUGCCUCACCGAGCAGUAGUGGGAUCGUGCCUGUGAAUAGCCACUGCACUCCAGCCUGGGCAACAUAGCAAGACCCCAUCUCUU
ensembl:misc_RNA Metazoa_SRP Metazoan signal recognition particle RNA